AAGGAAGUAAUAGAUCGUGACAAUGCAGUUCUAGCAGUUCCAAAAUUUGAAUCAGUUGAGCCAUCAGCUCCAGCUACGGUAGAAUCAGUAUGCUUCCUGUACCGAUUGAGGUGUCUUUCUCCUGCAUUAGGUUCAUUUUAAAGUCAAAUUAUGCUUACGAGAUAAAUGUGUUUCUUGCUUUAGGCAUGCCCUAUUUGCUUAACCAAUCCGAAGGACAUGGCUUUUGGAUGCGGUCAUACAGUAAGUUUCUGUAAUGAAGUUAUUCGAUGCUAAUGUUUGUGUGCCAUAGGGUUUUAACUAUUUAUGUUUGAUAAUCCUAAUUUCUUUUUUACUUUAUGCUAAUGUCAAUGUUAAUAUUUUGGUUUCAGGUUUAAUCGUGUUUAAAUUUUAAGUUGAAAACUUUUUCGUUUGAGGAAGUCUUACUUUUGUGGUGGGGAUGAAAAUUGAUGGAAAAAUGAAAAAGAUACUCUCCUUGCUCAAAGUCAGAAUAAUGCAACGAUUAAAUAUUUAUCUCAGCAUUGCUGUGACUUUAAGUCUUAAGAGAACUAUUAUAAAAGUCAAUGAAUUUAUUAUCCACAGUAGUUUAUGAUCAAAUAAUAGUUUCAAAUAAUUGUUCACUGUCAGUACAUAAUCCGUAACAAAGUAAUAAAAUGGGUGGAUGAAACCAUCUAUUUUCACUUCCUUAAAUAUAAUUCCUCAAGAGGCACUACGGCAUAUUUAACCAACAUGUGAAAAUAUGUCUUAAUUAUUUGCAUUUUUCUUUUGACAGACUUGCAAGGAGUGUGGCGUGACAUUGUCUUCUUGCCCUAUGUGCCGGCAGCCAAUUACAACUCGCCUGAGACUAUUCACUUGAAUUGGACAUUUCUUAACACAUCAUUCAUGCUUUAUAUUUCCGCUAUUACCUGUAUAAGAAAUCUAAUGAACCUGUAAAAUCUCCUUCACAAGAUGUACAGAAAGGUUUGUAUGUACAGUGUAUUUUUGUUUGUGUUCAAAAAAAAUAAAUUAUGCUCAUUUAAUUUGGAAGUGUUUGAAUAUGUAUCUCCACAAAUUUGAAAAUUCAGUCUUAAAUGAAACAUUUUUUAUAAAUUUUGUUAAAUAUAUUAUCUUUAUUUUAUUUUUAUUUUUUAUUUUUUCUUAUUAGUUUAUUAUUAUUAUUUAUUUGUAUUUUUAGUUUAAUUUAUAUUUCUUCUGUUAUAAGUAUAUUUAAGAUAAGAAAAAUUAAUUUUAUAUAUAAUUUUUAUUAUAUUUAACAUUUUUCAUUAUUUUUUAAAGAUGUGUAGUCUUCUUUAUUUUGGUACGUUCUCAAUCUCUUCAUCAAAUUUCUCUCAAUUAAUUGUUUUAACUUUUUUACAUCAUCUUUUCUUUUUCAUCAAUUGCUUUAAUUGGUUAUAACUUGAACUAAUACUUUCCAUCUUAUUGUCUUGGUAACAUGGACAUAAAAGGCAAGAAAAUAGUUUGAUCGUAACUUUCGCUUCAAAAUUGUACAUCAAAACACCAAGCAAUAAUAAAAAAAAAAAACUAUCCAAAAAAUAUAAUAACAAGAAAAAAAGAAGAAAAGUUAAUUUUGACGCAAUUGUGAUUGAGAUGUUGAAUUAAGAGAAAGAAACAUAGAGGUUCAUUUUUAACGCCAAUUGCCUCUCUUGACACGUGACAGUCUCUUUCGUUUUUGACCAUUUAAGAUGUUACACUCCAUUUGCUUACCCCCAAGAAAGUGACCCUUCACUCACUACAUUGUCUUUUCUUUUUCAUGGCAUGCUUUAAUUAUCUAUCAUUCCAACUAAUUAUUUUCAAUUUUCAUUUUACACUAAAACAUGUUCUUUGGUAAAAGUUUCAUCUUCUUAUUCAUUCAAUUGUGUGUGUGAACAAACACAAGAUGCUUGUCGUUGAGAUUAUUUGUGCUUGAAUCUUGUUAUUUUUGAAGCUUAAACAUUGUUUGCUUUAACCAAGAUGAAUAUUACCAAGAUGGAUUGUGAUUUUUCUUCUAAAUAAGAAAAAAAAAAUAACUCCUCAAAGUAUUUAGGAAUGUGGAUAAAGUGCAAGAGACAUUUGGAGACAAAGAAAAAUUCAUUUCUGUGGAAAGGAAAUAAAACAGACAAGUGAUAGACAUGCGUGUCUAUAAUUGAUAACUUCUGAAAAAGAUAAAGUUCUUUGCCUCGCACUGUGAUAUUAAUUAUUGCAGUGUUUACAAUUUUUCAAACAAACUUCAUUCUAAGCAUUUCUAAAAGAAUGAUAUCAAAGAUGAAAUGAGUUUAUUUCUACAUUAAAAAAAUUAUAUAUAAGUUAAAAAUAAUAUCCCAGAAAAAUUAUACAAAAAUUGUUACAAAUUAACUUUACUUAAGUUAAAUUUAACUUAUAACCCUUUUAUCAAUUUUUCUGUGCUAGAAAUAUUCAAGAACAAACGGGUCAAAAACUUACUUUUUAAACAAUUUUCGCUUUUAAGGACAAAGACAGAUAUGACAUACUCGAUCAAAGGUUAGUCUCAAGUUAUGACCUCUAUUGAUAAAAUACGUUAGGCCUGUUGUACUCAGCAAACUAUGAUACGAUAUAGUUCAUUAUAAUUUAUAUGUUUAUUUGGGACAUGAUAUAUAUAAUUGAUAAUGAUUCUUAUGUAUAAUUAAUCAUUUAAUCCUUGAGAUGUGCAUAAAAGAAAUAUGUCAGAAAGAAGGAUGAUUCCGUUAAACAUACCUAGUGUAUCAGAAAACCAUAAAGACUAUCACAGAUCUGACACCUAUUCAAGAAAUACCAUAAAAAGACACAAAACCUGCGACCCACAAGCUUAAGAUAAAGUUGUUGAUAGGGUGUAAUAAACAUCACAACACACUUUGUCUCUUACAUAAGACAAGCAGGUACAAAACCUUAGAGAAGAAUCAGAUGAGGUUUAUUGAGUUCUUUCAACAAUUUCUGCAAUGAUAUAGAGAUUUGAAAUGGCGGCAUUCCAACCAAUUAAUAAACAUCCAAAUACUUCAAAUCUGUCAUAAUAGAGCUUAAAUCAAUUUGUAAGAUAAGAAUGAUCCUUCUUAAUAUAUUAUUGUAGAAAAAUGUUGUUCAAAUAUUUGUGAAAAUAAAUCAUAACAAUUGGAAAUCAUUUUCAUUCAUUUGUUCGUUCCUUUAACAGUAGACCCUGUGUUCUGGCCACUGCAGUGUAAACUGGUUUCGCCAUGAAAAAGAAACAGAUUACUGAACUUCUUUGCAGAAAAACAAAGAACAACAACACUGAUUCCAUCAAGGAUCAUCAACAACAUAUACUAUGGUACCAACACAACCACACGACUAGGAAAAGAAAAAAUAAAAAAUAUUAUUUUAUUAUACAUGGAGAGAUAACAAAUUAAGGUUCAGGAAGAGGAUGAAGAAGAAGAAUUCGACUUAAAGAUACCCAUUAUGAUCGUUUUUCGGCUUUCCGCUCGGUUGGGCGGAACGUUGGCGAAUGUACCGGAGGGAUGCGGCCUCCUCACCGGAGGACCCUGACCCGACCCGUUUCCACCGCCGUUGUUUCCACUCAUACCUCCACUUUCUUUCUUCAGAACAAUUGAAUCUGCUCCCUCUAUUCAUUUCCCUUCUUAUAUAGACCAAGGUUUUACCUACUUCCACU
rnacentral:lncRNA from 1 species